rnacentral:rRNA from 1 species
CCUACGGGAGGCAGCAGUCGAGAAUCAUUCACAAUGGGGGAAACCCUGAUGGUGCGACGCCGCGUGGGGGAAUGAAGGUCUUCGGAUUGUAAACCCCUGUCAUGUGGGAGCAAAUUAAAAAGAUAGUACCACAAGAGGAAGAGACGGCUAACUCUGUGCCAGAAGCCGCGGUAAUACAGAGGUCUCAAGCGUUGUUAGGAUGCACUGGGCGUAAAGCGUGCGUAGGCUGUUUCGUAAGUCGUGUGUGAAAGGCGGGGGCUCAACCCGCGGACGGCAAAUGCUACUGGGAGACUAGAGUAAAGGUGGGGGAAGCGGAAUUCGCGGUGUAGCAGUGAAAUGCGUAGAUAUCGAGAGGAACACUCGUGGCGAAGGCGGGUUCCUGGACAUUAACUGACGCUGAGGCACGAAGGUCAGGGGAGCGAAAGGGAUUAGAUACCCUUGUAGUC